rnacentral:rRNA from 1 species
GGGAUUGCCUCAGUAACGGCGAGUGAAGCGGCAACAGCUCAAAUUUGAAAUCUGGCUCCUCUCGGGGUCCGAGUUGUAAUUUGUAGAGAGUGUUUCGGGGGAGACCGCGGUCUAAGUCCAUUGGAACAUGGCGUCAAAGAGGGUGAGAAUCCCGUCUGUGACCGCGAAUCGAUCCCAUGUGAAGCCUCUUCGACGAGUCGAGUUGUUUGGGAAUGCAGCUCAAAAUGGGUGGUAAAUUUCAUCUAAAGCUAAAUACUGGCUGGAGACCGAUAGCGCACAAGUAGAGUGAUCGAAAGAUGAAAAGCACUUUGGAAAGAGAGUUAAACAGUACGUGAAAUUGUUGAAAGGGAAGCGCUUGCGACCAGACCUGCCCGUGGGCGAUCAGCCGCUGUUCUCAGCGGUGCACUCGUUCCACGAUCAGGCCAGCAUCGGUUUCGGCGGUCGGAUAAAGGCCUUGGGAAUGUAGCUUCCCUUCGGGGGAGUCUUAUAGCCCUCGGUGCAAUGCGGCCAGCCGGGACCGAGGACCGCGCUUCGGCUAGGAUGCUGGCGUAAUGGUCGUAAGCGACCCGUCUUGAAACACGGACCAAGGAGUCUAACAUCUAUGCGAGUGUUUGGGUGUUAAACCCAUACGCGGAAUGAAAGUGAACGGAGGUGAGAACCCUUAAGGGCGCAUCAUCGACCGAUCCAGAUGUCUUCGGAUGGAUUUGAGUAUGAGCAUAGCUGUUGGGACCCGAAAGGUUAGUCACUUUCGCAUAGCAUGUAGCUUAGAAGUUUUUACUAAUUAAUUUUACAGAUGGUGAACUAUGCCUGAAUAGGGUGAAGCCAGAGGAAACUCUGGUGGAGGCUCGCAGCGGUUCUGACGUGCAAAUCGAUCGUCAAAUUUGGGCAUAGGGGUUAGUCUCGAACUUCUAACACCAUUAAUAACGUAGUACUAACUUUUUCCUAGGCGAAAGACUAAUC